rnacentral:miRNA from 1 species
UAUGGCACUGGAAGAAUUCACG